AUACAUUAAUGUUAAUUAAACAAUUUUAUAUUGGAAAAUACGCUAGAAGAAAAAUAUUAUGUAAUAUUCUUUAUUCGAAGAAGGAGAUAGGAAGAAUCAUUUUGAUAUUUUGCCAAAUGCGUGUGGAAGUUCGAACAAGAGUGACUUGUAUGGAUACUCAAUUUUUUUACAUUCAUCGAAUUUCUCUGGUCGCAAUUGGGUUAUGGCCUUACCAUCGAACAAUGCUUGUUCAACUUCAGUCUUGUGUGUUUUCUUUUAUUAUGAUUAGCUGUAUUAUAUUUCAGCUUACAACAUUUCUAACUACAGAAUGGACUAUUGACUUUAUCAUUGAAGUUCUUUCUACAUCGCUUGUUGUUUUUUUGUGCGCGAUUCAAUAUAAUUUUAUUUGGAUUAACACACAUGUUGUGAAACAUAUAUUGGAAAACCUUCAGUAUGUCUGUAGCGAGUUAAAAGACGAAAACGAAAUUGCUAUAAUAAAAAGAUAUGGACACGUAGCAAAAUGUAUUUCAAUUGGAUUAACGUUGUUGGCGAUGUGCGGUUUGUUCAUCUUAACUCUUAGUCCAAUUCUGCCGCGGAUUUUUGGCUUUUUUUUCCUCGUAAAUGAAUCCGAGUCAUAUCGCAAUAUAUAUAUCAGGACUGAAUAUUUUGUCGAAGAAGAAAAAUAUUUUUAUUUUAUUUUGCUGCAUCUGUACGCAGCCCAAUACAUAGCAAUAGGUACAUUAAUAGGAGGAGGAAUAUUGGUGAUAGGAUACUCUACAUAUUUUUGUGGAUUAUUUAACGUUGCCCGUUACCGUAUCGAACAUGCAAUGCGGAUAAAUAGUGACGAAGUAACUAAUUGAAAGAACAAGAGGGAAAUCGACAAGAAGAUAAGUCAUGCAGUGGACAUUCAUCGCACAGUUCUUGAGUUUAUUGAAAUCUUUCUAUAUAACUUCGAGGGAACAUAUCUUCUUAUAAUAGCGAUUAUUGUAAUUUGUUUGAGUCUUAAUCUGUUUGGAGUAAGAAUUUUAGUAAAAAACUAAAUCUUAUAAUUAUUAAAUUUUUUCUUCACCACUGCAACAAGACAUUUAAAUUGAUAGGAUUUGGAGCUGUAGAAAACUAUACGUAGACGAUCCAAAAGUAAUGAGAUUGGUUCUGCUAGAAAACUUAAAAGAAUGCAAAGUAACUAUAUACCCACAACACUACACACUUGUAUCUGAGAAUAUAUUUUCUAUCAACUUUGAAAAUUCUAUUCAUCGAUCACCGAUUCACCGAUCGGUUCAGUUAGUGACCAUUAAUGAUCGAUCGCGUAAAUAUUGUUUGCAAUUUACCCCCGGAAAAGAAUAUGGAGAAACAAAGUGACCAACGUUAUGCGAUUCUAUUUUAAUGUUCUGUUAAAGAAAUCGGCUUCGGAUGCUUAUGCGAUGUUAUAAGAAGUUUUUAAAGAACAUUAUUAAUAUCACUUGCAAUAUGUUUUCGUUGGUAUGUCGCGUUUCUGGCCGGGAGUUCCGGUCGUGAGAGCACAGAAUACGAGGGGUCAAAGGCGAGGAUUAAAUAGAUUGCAAAACAAUGAAGGCGCAGUGCAAACAGCUUUUCAAAGAUAGCUUAGAUUUCAUCUUCCAAAAGUGAAAAACGCGCUGGGAAAAGUUCGAUGCAUUCAAUGGAGUUCUAGUUUCUUAGAAAAGAAACAUUGUAAAUUUAGAUUAAAAAUAUAGUUUUGUAUUUUUUAUAGCAUUUGUCUCAUUACUUUAUGGACCGCCCUCGUAAGUAGAAUGAGAUAACAAUAAGUGUGUAUGUGUUGAAUUUAUCUUAUUAGUAGAAUCAUUAAAUAUAUAAGAUAUUUCAUGUGAGAAACAUGUUGCUAAUUGACAAAUAAUUUAAAAGAUCUAUAUACAUAUAUAUAUGUAUAUAUAAAUUCUUUAAUAAUAUCUAUUAUAAAAAAGUGUAUGUGUAAUAUAUUAUUUUAGAUCUUUCACGCCAUUGGUUUUGUAUUUAGGUUGGAAAAGUUUCUAUUACACUGUGGGUUUACGCUUAGCACUUUAACAUGUUCAUUAGGAAUCAACUGCAUGGGUCAAGCGAUUACAGAUCACUACAAUUACAUAUUUUUAACGGCGUAAGAUUUAACGGCGUAAUAAACUAAAGUCGUCAAUAUUAAAUUUAUACAAAUAUAUUAACAUACGCGUGAAUAACAAUCAACGUGAUAUUGCACAUAUAAUAUUUGCCAACAUCGUCUAUACAAUAUGUAUUUCUAUCCUACGUUUUUUACCAUCAACAUUUUUCAUAUUUUAAAUUAUCAUUUUCAAAUACUCAUUUUAUUAUUUACCUAUUAUUUCGCAGAUAUAACGUCCGAUGGUACAUUGCACCCGUACGCGUGCAAAGAUUAAUAUUGUUUCUUUUGCAAAAAGGUACUAAGUCUUAUAGCAUGAAAUUCGGUGGUGUUUAUACAAUGUCUUUAGAAAGCUUUGCCUCGCUAUCAACUACAUCAAUAUCGUAUUUUACUGUUAUAUAUUCUAUACAAAAGUGAUAUUACUAUGAAUCAGCUAAUUAUGUUAAAACCAACUAGUAAACUCGAAAGUAGGAACUUUCUUAAACGUUCCGUUCUUAAAUAAUUGGUGCUUGUAAUUGUCAGAAAAUGAAUAAAGAGAAUGAAACAUCUC
rnacentral:misc_RNA from 1 species